rnacentral:rRNA from 1 species
UAGAGAAUAGAGGCAAAUCCCUAUUCUUAAUAUCGAGAUGUGAUGGGGAGCGAAAAAUAAGUAGUGAAGCAACAGAUUCCAAACUGCCAAGAAAAGGUACUAUUGAGUGAGAAGAUACCCGUACCAAAACCGACACAGGUAGGCAAGGAGAGAAUCCUAAGACGCGCGGAAGAACCUUUGUUAAGGAACUCGGCAAAAUGACCCCGUAACUUCGGGAGAAGGGGUACCAUUAGAUGUGAGAUACUUGCGUAUGGAGCAUAGAGUGGUCGCAGAGAAUAGGCCCAAGCAACUGUUUACCAAAAACACAAGUCUCUGCUAAAUCGAAAGAUGAAGUAUAGGGGCUGACACCUGCCCGGUGCUGGAAGGUUAAGGGGAAAUGUUAGAGCAAUCGAAGCAUAGAACUUAAGCCCCAGUAAACGGCGGCCGUAACUAUAACGGUCCUAAGGUAGCGAAAUUCCUUGUCGGGUAAGUUCCGACCCGCACGAAAGGUGUAAUGAUUUGGGCACUGUCUCAACAAAGGAUCCGGUGAAAUUGUAGUAGUCGUGAAGAUGCGACUUACCCACGAUAGGACGGAAAGACCCCGUGGAGCUUUACUGUAGGCUGGCAUUGGAAUUUGGUAUUAAAUGUACAGGAUAGGUGGGAGACUUUGAAGCGAGAGCGCCAGUUUUCGUGGAGUCAACGUUGGGAUACCACUCUUUUGAUACUAAAUUUCUAACUUGAUACUCUGAAGCGAGUAUAAGGACACUGUCAGUUGGGCAGUUUGACUGGGGCGGUCGCCUCCUAAAGAGUAACGGAGGCGUUCAAAGGUUCCCUCAGAAUGGAUGGAAAUCAUUCUAAGAGUGCAAAGGCAAAAGGGAGCUUAACUGCGACACCAACAAGUGGAGCAGAUAGGAAACUAGGACUUAGUGAUCCGGUGGUACCGAGUGGAAGGGCCAUCGCUCAACGGAUAAAAGCUACCCCGGGGAUAACAGGCUUAUCUCCCCCAAGAGUUCACAUCGACGGGGAGGUUUGGCACCUCGAUGUCGGCUCGUCUCAUCCUGGGGCUGGAGUAGGUCCCAAGGGUUGGGCUGUUCGCCCAUUAAAGAGGCACGCGAGCUGGGUUCAGAACGUCGUGAGACAGUUCGGUCCCUAUCCAUCGUGGGCGUAGGAAAUUUGAGAGGAGCUGUCCUUAGUACGAGAGGACCGGGAUGGACAGACCGCUGGUGUAUCAGUUAUCAUGCCAAUGGUAAUGCUGAAUAGCUAAGUCUGGAAGGGAUAAGUGCUGAAGGCAUCUAAGCACGAAGCCCCCCUCAAGAUGAGAUUUCCUGUUGCAGAAAUGCAAGAGAGAUUCGAUACAGAAAAUGUCGUAGAUAGGUCAGAGGUGUAAAGGUGGCAACAUCAAAGCUAACUGAUACUAAUAAAUCGAAAGCUUGACCA